CCAGAUCAAAUCCACGACAAGACAUGGAUAUGCUCGCGGUGUCCGGUCUCCACCCGCACGGUGCCGCCGAGAAAUAGCGACCGCUUCUCCAGCCGCCGUCUCUUCACUUCCUCAUCUGUUCAGGAAUGAUCCGGUGGAGUAGCUCAACAGGGAGGCCUUCUAGCUCUGCAGCACAUGUCCAUGGGUUGUAUCAGGCAGUCAUCAUUGAAGGAGGGAACCUGCAAGCAUGCAAUGAUACUGCAUGGUUCAAGCAAGAAGAUAUGUCUAAUAAGAGUCUAAUGAACUUACCAACAGAUUUUGCGGCUUAAUAUCUCGAUGGCAUACACCAACAACACGAUGGAUAUAUGCAAGGGCCCGGCACAUCUAUGCAAAGAUGGAACAACAAACAACUUGAGGAUCACCGAAAGUAACUGUUUGAAAGAAUUUAUAAACUACAAUGGAACAUCUUCACAAACCUGAUAUGCAUACAACUUAACAUAUAGUAUGGGUACACGCUGGUUCAGCCGACAAUAAUAUUUGGCAACACGAUAAACUGUCUCUGAGACAUAUUCAAGUACAAGGUUUAGGUACACUUCACCCCUCUCAGUUGUC